GUGCUCUCUUCGGCAGCACAUACACUAAAAUUGAAACGAUACAGAGGUUAGCAUGGCCCCUUCGCAAGGAUGACAUGCAAAUUUGUGAAAUAUUCCUUUUUGGU
ensembl:snRNA U6 U6 spliceosomal RNA